CAGUGUUCUGCUGCAUCCGGUGCCACCUCAAAGAACACCUUCUUCUAGCUGGGCAUUGAACGCCUCAGGGACGACGAGGUGCAGCAACUGGGGUGGAAGCAGUUCAACUACAUGAUGAAAAAUUGAGUGAAGGGGUUAAGACGGUUGCGUUGUGCAUGCGCUGCUUGCUUGCCGCGGGACUUGCUUAUGGAGACAUUUGCAGCUACAGAGUAAAUAUGGGAGCUCUAGCAAAGCCUUGGCUUCUCAUCUAUUUCACACUUCAUGCUUAUUGCACUGGAAGAGCAAACUUGGAAGAAAGGCAAAAACAGCGCCAGAGUGCAGAAUAACAUCCAUUUUUGCCAAGAAUGCCAGGGUACAGGAAGAAAGCCAACCAUUUCUUUAUCUGAAGUUUGGAAGAGCACAUGAUCCACGUCCUCCUCGUCCCUGGCGCUGCUCCCCGUCCGCCUCCUGGUUAUCCAUGGCCAUACUCAAAUGUCCUAUGCCCCCUCCUGGUCACUGUUAGAACUUUAGAAACAUGGCACUUAUAUUUAUGCAUGAGGAUUUAUAAACUUUCAUACAAAUUGUAGGAAUAUACUACAGUUAGUGGAUUUUUUUGGACAAAUUGUAGGACUAUACUACUGUUUAGCACUUUCUGAUGAGCACUUUCUAAUUUUUAUACAAGUUCCGUAGCUGUAGCACUUUCUUUUAAUUUGGAAACUUUGUUCAACAUCUGUUUAUGUUGCCAUGUAAUCUGGAUGAUGACUAAGGCGUAAUUUUAGUUAAUUAACCUAGGCACUUCGUUAUUUGCACUGCCAGUUUGUUAUACAACACAAAAUCAAAUGGAUCAAUCUUAAUGCCUGCAUAGUUUAUUUGCUCCCAUGAUCACUUCUGGGCGGAUCCACAUACAAGUUGAGGAGGCACGGCCAAGGCUGGGAGGAAAGGCGUUGUCGUCAUCGCCAAACUGGGAGCUCUACGCUUUGACGGUUCUCGCUUCAAUUAUGGAUUGCCUGAAGCUUCUGAACAGUUUUUAGUUAUUUCUUUCUUACAUUUUCACUUUCAACACUAAUUCAUUGCCCGAAGCUUGCAGAGUAUUACUAAUUGCUUGCUAUUCAUUAUUGCCUGAAGCGAGAGAACAAUUUAGAUAUUUCUCCGGUAAUUGAUAGUUGUCAUAUAUAUUCUUGUGUUUUCUUUACUGCGGAGACCACUGAUUAUUUACCCUGGAGUAUAAUAUUUGUGAUUAACACCUAUUUAUCAACAUAUUUCCUGAAGAAGUUUGCAAUGGAUCAACCUUGAAGACACUCGGAACAUUUACUCGAGUGAAGGUACUCGUGGCGCACUUGGCACUGCCAUGCUGGUCAGGUCGUUCAUGCUCGACCUCGCCGAUUUUUGACCUCACUGGCUUGACAGUGUCCUUUGUGAUUCUGAACAUAGGCACUACUCUCUUGGACGCCGCCGACUCGGGUGCUACUCUCCUGAACGCCGCCGACUCAGGUGCCAUCUCUGUCCAAGAUUUUAUAAUUUAUGUUUUAACUAUAUGUAUUUGGCUAUCAAACACCU